GAUGAACGCUAGCUACAGGCUUAACACAUGCAAGUCGAGGGGCAGCAUUUCAGUUUGCUUGCAAACUGGAGAUGGCGACCGGCGCACGGGUGAGUAACACGUAUCCAACCUGCCGAUAACUCGGGGAUAGCCUUUCGAAAGAAAGAUUAAUACCCGAUGGUAUAAUCAGACCGCAUGGUCUUGUUAUUAAAGAAUUUCGGUUAUCGAUGGGGAUGCGUUCCAUUAGGCAGUUGGUGAGGUAACGGCUCACCAAACCUUCGAUGGAUAGGGGUUCUGAGAGGAAGGUCCCCCACAUUGGAACUGAGACACGGUCCAAACUCCUACGGGAGGCAGCAGUGAGGAAUAUUGGUCAAUGGGCGCAGGCCUGAACCAGCCAAGUAGCGUGAAGGAUGACUGCCCUAUGGGUUGUAAACUUCUUUUAUAUGGGAAUAAAGUUUUCCACGUGUGGAAUUUUGUAUGUACCAUAUGAAUAAGGAUCGGCUAACUCCGUACCAGCAGCCGCGGUAAUACGGAGGAUCCGAGCGUUAUCCGGAUUUAUUGGGUUUAAAGGGAGCGUAGGUGGACAGUUAAGUCAGUUGUGAAAGUUUGCGGCUCAACCGUAAAAUUGCAGUUGAUACUGGCUGUCUUGAGUACAGUAGAGGUGGGCGGAAUUCGUGGUGUAGCGGUGAAAUGCUUAGAUAUCACGAAGAACUCCGAUUGCGAAGGCAGCUCACUGGACUGCAACUGACACUGAUGCUCGAAAGUGUGGGUAUCAAACAGGAUUAGAUACCCUGGUAGUCCACACAGUAAACGAUGAAUACUCGCUGUUUGCGAUAUACAGUAAGCGGCCAAGCGAAAGCAUUAAGUAUUCCACCUGGGGAGUACGCCGGCAACGGUGAAACUCAAAGGAAUUGACGGGGGCCCGCACAAGCGGAGGAACAUGUGGUUUAAUUCGAUGAUACGCGAGGAACCUUACCCGGGCUUAAAUUGCAUUUGAAUAUAUUGGAAACAGUAUAGCCGUAAGGCAAAUGUGAAGGUGCUGCAUGGUUGUCGUCAGCUCGUGCCGUGAGGUGUCGGCUUAAGUGCCAUAACGAGCGCAACCCUUAUCUUUAGUUACUAACAGGUCAUGCUGAGGACUCUAGAGAGACUGCCGUCGUAAGAUGUGAGGAAGGUGGGGAUGACGUCAAAUCAGCACGGCCCUUACGUCCGGGGCUACACACGUGUUACAAUGGGGGGUACAGAAGGCAGCUACCUGGUGACAGGAUGCUAAUCCCAAAAGCCUCUCUCAGUUCGGAUCGAAGUCUGCAACCCGACUUCGUGAAGCUGGAUUCGCUAGUAAUCGCGCAUCAGCCAUGGCGCGGUGAAUACGUUCCCGGGCCU
rnacentral:rRNA from 1 species